AUUGAACGCUGGCGGCAGGCCUAACACAUGCAAGUCGAGCGGAUGAAGGGAGCUUGCUCCUGUAUUCAGCGGCGGACGGGUGAGUAAUGCCUAGGAAUCUGCCUGGUCGUGGGGGAUAACGUCCGGAAACGGGCGCUAAUACCGCAUACGUCCUGAGGGAGAAAGUGGGGGAUCUUCGGACCUCACGCUAUCAGAUGAGCCUAGGUCGGAUUAGCUAGUUGGUGGGGUAAAGGCCUACCAAGGCGACGAUCCGUAACUGGUCUGAGAGGAUGAUCAGUCACACUGGAACUGAGACACGGUCCAGACUCCUACGGGAGGCAGCAGUGGGGAAUAUUGGACAAUGGGCGAAAGCCUGAUCCAGCCAUGCCGCGUGUGUGAAGAAGGUCUUCGGAUUGUAAAGCACUUUAAGUUGGGAGGAAGGGCAGUAAGUUAAUACCUUGCUGUUUUGACGGUACCAACAGAAUAAGCACCGGCUAACUUCGUG
rnacentral:rRNA from 1 species